rnacentral:rRNA from 1 species
UACGUAGGUGGCAAGCGUUGUCCGGAUUUAUUGGGUUUAAAGGGUGCGUAGGCGGUUUUUUAAGUCAGCGGUGAAAUACUUCAGCUCAACUGGAGAGGUGCCAUUGAUACAGGAAAACUUGAGUACUGAUGAGGUAGGCGGAAUGGACGGUGUAGCGGUGAAAUGCUUAGAUAUCGUCCAGAACACCGAUAGCGAAGGCAGCUUACUAAGGAGUAACUGACGCUGAGGCACGAAAGUGUGGGGAUCAAACAGG